UGGAAUUCUUAAUAUGGAUGAAUAUUCUAGAAAAUUCUUCGUUCAGGAACAAAUAUAGCAUUUUUUAGUUUUGCUUAAGAUAAUUUUUUUUACACACAAAUUUUGAUUUUAAUGGUUAAGAUGCAAAAUUAGAUUUAUGGUUUUGGCCAAAAAUACAAUAUAUGGUUUUACAAGUUUAUUUUUACAGUGUGUACAUGUGAAUUAUUGCACAAGUUGAAUUGUGUACAUAUGAAUUGAAGUACACGUGGAUAGUAAAUUUGGUGUACAUAUCUAUAUACAAACACCAUUACAAUAAUGUACACAAAAAUAAUUCAUACUUCAAUAAUGUACAUAUGAAUUGAAGUAACGUGGAUAGUAAAUUUUGUGUACAAAGUGUUGUGUACAUAUAUCUACAUACAAACAUCAUUACAAUAAUGUACACAAAAAUGAUUCAUACUUCAAUAAUGUACAUUUGAAUUGAAGUACACGUAGAUAGCAAAUUUUGUGUACAUAGUAUUGUAUACAUAUAUCUACAUACAAACAUCAUUACAAUAAUGUACGCAAAAAUAAUUCAUACUUCAAUAAUGUACAUAUGAAUUGAAGUACACGUGAUAGUAAAUUUUGUGUACAUAGUGUCGUGUACAUAUGUCUACAUACUUUAAGGGCGAAACGAGCAAAAAACAAAAACUUAACAAUUGUUGCUCUCUAGUUUUCACUCUGCUACGAGAUAAAAAUGAACACUAGAAAUUUGGAAAUAAAAUUAAAAGUCGUUUGGCAACUUCGAAAGUCUAAAAAAUAAAGAUUAAAACACGAAGGACCAAACAUGAAAAUAUCAGAAUCUUGGCCAUUGUUGCUCUCGAGCUCAAACUCUACGACGGAGAGGAUGAGCCACAAGGACUCCAGACGGAAAUUAAGGUGGAUCUAGGGGCUGUAGCGUUUUGCGGUGAUUCUUCGACGAUGAAUGAGGCAAGAGUGAUGCGUAAGUGAUUUGCCGUUACGGUAGGAGCUAGCCGUUAAGGUAGAGCUGAGCAUGGUGGAGUGAUGCGGAGGCGAUGCUUCAACGACGAGUCGGCGGUGAGCAGCAAGUUACAUACCAAACAACACGUUGAGGGGUUAGAAUUCACAAUUUAAAAGUCUGGAUCGCAACUAGAAUUAUGUGGCCACAAAAAAAAAGUAAGGACUUGAAAAUACCAAAGAAAAAGAAAUUAUGAGGCACGUGGUCUUUUGCUCAGAUAAUUAUCUAAUUCAAUUUACUUUCUGCCUCGGGUCCACCACACAAUCCUUUUAAAACAAAAUUCAAAAUCCAACCACACAUAAAUAUCUGUAACCGAAAAAGAAGCGCUUAGUUAAGUUUUUUAAGGGCAAGUUAAGUCUUUUACACCAAAAACUACCUCAGUAUAACAAAGUGACUUAUCUUGUAAUAAAAAGACAGAAACUGCCUCUGGAUGUAAAUCACUCUAUAGAUAAUGAUUCAUAACUACUUAAUCUAGACAUUUCAUUAUUUACUAGAUUUCGUUUAUGAAUUUUGUCUAGUUACAAAGAAAGAAAGAAAGAAAAAAAUUGUUGGUGAAAAAGUGAUAGAUACUAAUAUCAAUACAAUACUAAAAGGGGAAUAAGGGCUCCCCUCAUGCUGUCCACGUCAUCAAUUAUAAUCAGCCAAUCAUAUCCUACAAAUUGUCCACCUCAGAUACAGAUUAUUGUGUUUGUGGGUUUCUAUUUUUAAUUCGGCCUGUUUAACAUUUUGGCCUGUUGAACAUAAACCCAUCAUUUAGGCCUCUUGACUCUGUCUACACUAAUUUCGAUUUGGAAAUCGACUCUCCCCCUUUCGACUUUCUCAUCUUCUAUUCUCUUCUCUCCAUAUCGGUUUCGUAGAUCAGACGAACCACUUCUCCACUAUCUCCUCUAAUCAAACCUUCGUGUAAUCAAAGCUCAUUCAAUGAUUCCCUUUCGUCUUCCCCUCUAUCAAUCUCUCUAUAAAACUCUUUUUUAAUAUUUUUUUCCGAUUAAAAUCCAUAAUAUCCUCUCAAGAGUCUACGGCUAUGGAAUCCACCGGCAAAUCUCCAGUAUCCAGCGAUCCGAAGGCGAACCGGCGAUUUCAGAGGCUAUGAAUAACACUUUGGAGACCCGUUUUGCAGUUCCCGAAGGAACCAUCAGGAAUUGAUCUGAAAUCAAUGUACAUCGAUGGGAGUUUAUUAUUUUAAAACCAGAGCUUUGAUGAACCUUUUGACACAACAGUAUUCGAGUUCCAAUGACGCUGCCAUAAGAGAUCACGAUGUUCAAGUGAGAUUACUAUUUGGAAGAUAGUGGAACUAUGAAGACAUUCUCUGAAGAUGAUAGAUACGAUAAUCUCACACGGAUGUUUCUUGCGACUGCAAGAAUGCAGCUUCCAACGCUCCAUCUUUGGAGAUUGGUCACGUCUAUACUAUGGAGUUGAGCUUCAGGAUACGUUGAUGUUAGGUACAGAUUAUUACCAAACUGAAUCUGGGAUUGUAUCUCUAUUAGCAGAAGGAAAGGUUCCAAUUGGUAUUGGUAGAGAGACAAAGAUCAGGAAAUGCAUAAUAGACAAGAAUGCUAAGAUUGGUAAAAAGGCAUAAGCUUUCCUUGAAUAUCUUCUCGAAGGAUCAUAAUAUUCGAUUUGGAAUUACUUUGGUAGUGGAAAAGGCUAUAAUUCAAGACGGUAAUGUUAUAUAAAGGGAGCUUGAACUGUAGCUAUCUUUGAGGUGCCAAAGCUACAAAGUAGAGUUGGAAGAUGAUUAUCUGUUUUUUUUUUUUGGUUCACAGAUGUUACUAGAUAUGCAAGCCAUGAAGACAAUUCUUCUAGAAAUCCCUUCCCUUGCCAGACUGGUAGCUAUCUUAUCAUUACCAUUUUAUUAUGAUAUUGUAUAUACCAAUUUAGCCUUUUAAAGCUAAAGUUUGUGAUAUCAAUGCGGACUUCAACUGCUGCCAGCUACUCUAAAUUUGUGAGCCGUGAAAUAAGAAGUACUUUAAGGUCAUACUGUCCCCAAUCGAUUCGGUGGUAGACAGUUAUAGUGACCUGUUUCCAGAAGGAACUCCCAUGGAGUUUCAGCGCAUCUUUGAACUCAAGGGUCUUAAGAAAGCUGAUCAGCAGAGCAUAUGUGAUGAUUUCAACAAGCAUGGCCCAAGGUUUACACAGCCCUCUGUUUCAGGGGAAAUGCCACAAGUGGUUCCAACCCACCUGCACUGCCGCUGGUAAUCACUAAUCCGGGUACAACAGCUAGGUUUAUACCAAACAACGAGGAUGUGUUAACAAAGCAGAAGCUCUUUGCAGAGGAGCUGCAACAACUGGCUUUAAUAAUUUCAUUGCACUGAAACUACCAAAGACCUCAAAGAUGGAAGUUUACUUUGAACAGGACAAAUAAGCUUUCUUCACGUGGCUUAAACAAGUGUCAUCAGCGACUGCUGUAAGAGCCUGAAAGCUCCAUCUCCUGAGUUUUCAGAGUACAUCAAACAGAGAAGAUAUGAUCUCCAUGAUGUUCAAGCAUAUGUGAAGUGAAGUUUGUUUCCUUUGUCAAUGAUGUGUUUCUGUGUGUGUCAAAAACCCUUUGUCAAACUCUUAUCCCUAUAACACAAAUAUUCGUUGUAUAUGCUAAAGAUGCCGGUUUUAACAAUGUGAUAUCACUGUAAGACCGUAUUUUAAUCAAGUUUGGCUAAUUUUUUUUAAUUACUAUA